CCCGGUCUCAGUUCAGAUUGCAGGCUGCAACCCGCCUGCAUGAAGUCGGAGUUGCUAGUAACCGUAGGUCAGCACACUACGGUGAAUACGUUCCCGGGUCUUGUACACACCGCCCGUCACACCACGAAAGUCGGCAACACCUGAAGCCGCUGG
rnacentral:rRNA from 1 species